AUAGAAACUCAUUUAUUUAUGUAUCGAGUUUGCCAGAGGGUACAAAACGUCACUGCAUUGCUGCAGUGCUGCCACUGUUCCUUCUGCAAUGCUGACAUUUUGAAUGAAUGGCUGUGCAGCAUUGCCCAUUGCAGACUGCUGGAAGGCUCCAGGAGGGACUCGGCUCCCACUGUGUGAUGGCUGUGUGAGUGGCAUACUUUGCUGAAGUGCGUCCAGAUCCUUUUUUGGGAAGCUGGGAGGCGUCUCCUUGCUGUGAGAGAGAAACAUGGUGCAAUCUUUUCAUCGCUCGGUUUUAGUGACACAGGUUCAAGCAGAACCAAGGAAACCAUUCCUCCUGUCCAAGAGACAGUCUCGUGGAUCCUCAGUUCCCUUCGCAGCACUUGUUCAACCUUUAACCUUUUAAGGACCAUAUCUGGCAACUGAACAGGGAUUACCUGAGCAGAGCCCCCUUUUGGAGCAUACGACUCUUUGCAAGAAGGAGAGCAGAGAGUACGUGGCUACUCCUCUGCAGCUGUGUUUCCAAGUCAGCUGGUGCUUAUUUUCUAAUUGGGAACCACAACAGCAUAUGGGCUCACCUUUGGAGCUCUUCUUUUUGCUCCUCAUGUCCAUUGUAAUCAUUGACUCCAGAUGGGCGUUGACGUUCCUAAUACCAUCCUUACAUGGACAGGACUUUCAUAUGUCCUUCCCGAGACUAAGAAACAAAGAAAAAUAAGAAACAAGGGGAAUUCACCAGGGAAUCUGGAAAAAAUGGGAAAAUUCCUAGGGUUUAUGAAGCACUGGAGAUGCACAAAAGAUCUAGAACAUUUUCUUGAAUUUGCUGAAGAUAAUAAGCUGUUCAGUUCAAAGAAGCCCAAAACAACUGCAGGCUGUUGCCAAAGGAUUCUGCAAAGCCAAGCUACUGAGCAAUAAAGAGGCAGAUAUAUUUGAAGUUGAUAAGUACAGUUUGACAUGUGUUUGGAAAAGAAAUCUACAUACUAUAUUCAUAAUGUUUGCUCAAAGCUCUGUACUGGUCAAGCAAAUAAGAUGAAUGGUAGGAAACACUAUGAAGAAAAUAGCAGCGGCAAACUUCAUUAUAUCAUUAUUUAAACCUAUUGUGACCAGAACUUCAAUAUAUGCAGUUCUAUCUCUUUGGUUUUGAAAAGUACUUUGGAGCACUGAAAAAGGUUGGAAAGAUGAUCAUAGUACCAGUUUAUGUAGGAAAAAUGACUGCAGAGGAGCACUUCAGCUUGGAAAAACAAAACUGAGAGACAAAUGUAAUGAAUAUGAUGAAAACAUGAGCAGAAAGAAGAAACAGAAAAUUAUUGUUCACUGAGUCUCACAAUAUCAGAAUGACAUCAAAUCUAACUCAGAUGUCUCAAACUCAAAGAGAAGAGGAAUUUCAGUGUGCUAUGAAUAGUUAAACCCCACACUUAAUUGUCACAGGAAGCUCAUGGGGUAGAUGCCAAAUUUUACACGUGUUCAGAAAGUAGGCCUGAUUGAUCUACGGAAAAAAAGAAAACAUCCAUAAUUACUAACAGGAGUGUGUACAGGACCGGUUCAAAGUGCAGAUCAGUAGAAUGUGGAAGACUUUACCACAGGAAAUAGCACUGUCUAAGAUACCUCUAGCCAUCUGCCCCUGCCAUGACGCUCCUCACUAGCCUUGAUAU
ensembl:lncRNA